rnacentral:ribozyme from 11 species
GUAAAAAUAAAAUGAGAAACGAAGCUUCGAGAAGCCAAAGUUACAGAAGAAAAAAAUAAGGCAUCGCUCUGAUUACUGGCUACUCCUUUUCUUCUUCUUUUUCUUGGAUUCCUCCU